rnacentral:tRNA from 1 species
GUUAUUGUAGCUUAAAAUGUUAAAGCACGACACUGAAGUUGCCGAGAUGGAUUUUCAAUUUUUCCCAAAAACA